GUGGCUAGAGUGGUCCUUUAAGAGUGUAGUGUGUGCGUGUAUACACAUAUAUAUAUAUAUUUGGAAGUAUUGUGUAUGUUUGUGGUGCAGUGUGUUGGGGGGGUUCUGUGUGUAUGUGAGGGGUGCAGUAUGUGUGUGUGAGAGUGCGGUGUGUGAUGGGUGUGAGAGUGCCGUGUGUGAGUGAUGGGUGUGAGAGUGCCGUGUGUGAG